UUAUGUGAUCGUCUCUCGCAUAUCAAUAAGCGGAGGAAAAGAAACUAACAAGGAUUCCCCUAGUAACGGCGAGUGAAGCGGGAAGAGCUCAAAUUUGAAAUCUUAAAGGGUUUCCCUUUACGAAUUGUAGUUUAAAGAAGUGUUUUCUGUUGAGGUUUUGGUAAAAGUUCUUUGGAAUAGGACAUCAUAGAGGGUGAGAAUCCCGUAUUUGACCUUUACUUUCAACUUUGUGAUACACUUUCAAAGAGUCGGAUUGUUUGGGAAUGCAGUCCAAAAUGGGUGGUAAAUUUCAUCUAAAGCUAAAUAUUGGCGAGAGACCGAUAGCGAACAAGUACCGUGAGGGAAAGAUGAAAAGAACUUUGAAAAGAGAGUUAAACAGUACGUGAAAUUGUCAAAAGGGAAGCGUUUGACACCAGUGUUGUUUUUCUGAAAAUCAAUUAAAGAACUGUUUAUGCUAAGUUGUUUAGACUUUAUCAGCUAACUGUUUAGUUUUGAGCUUUUCUUUAAUGCACUUUUCAGUUAACAAGUCAACAUCAAUUUCUUUUGCUGUAAAAAAGCUUGAGGAAGGUGGCUUGAGAUUCGUCUUAAGUGUUUAUAGCCUCUUGCCUAUGCAGUCGGAGAGAUUGAGGUCUGCAGCGUAGAUCCUUCGGGGCUAAAUGCAUUUGUGCUAAGUUAUAGCAUUUUAUAGACAACUUGUUGACUAUGAUUUGUCUUGUAGCUUACUCGCUCAUGUUAUUUUACCUACGCUUAGGAUGUUGACACACGCGCGUGCUCG
rnacentral:rRNA from 1 species